CACAACUUGGUGCCACAUAUUUGCAAGGAAGGAGGAUUGCUUGGAGUUGUGCUAGUCAUUCAAUUUGGAUUGCUGGAGCAUUCUAGGUGUAUUCUACUUUGGUUUUCAAUGUCUAAUUUAAAUUGUUUAUGUUUAAUUGCAAGUAUGAGGAACUAAACCUCUUUUGGCUAGAGGAGAAUUCGAAACCAUGAAUAUAUUUGCA
rnacentral:lncRNA from 1 species